GGACUUGGUGUACUGUGCAGAUAUUGCGCAGCUUCUACUCAAGCUUGGAGUGCCACAGUACGAACCCAAAGAUUGGAGACUGUUCAUUGACAGCAGCAAGUGAUCACUGAAAUGUGUUCUGCUACACAACGGCAACCAGUUUGCCUCUAUACCCCUGGCUCACUCGACUACACUGAAGGAGAACUAUGAAGCGGUGAAGUAUGUGUUGGAGAAAAUUGGUUAUGAUCAGCAUAAGUGGUUUAUUUGUGUUGACCUGAAGAUGGUGAACUUUUUGUUGGGACAACAGUCUGGCUUCACCAAGUACCCAUGUUUUCUGUGCAUGUGGGAUAGUAGGGACCGUGCUCAGCAUUACACGAAGAAGGACUGGCCUGUGCGGGAGGAAUUGGUGCCUUGCAAAGAAAGGAACGUCAUCAACCACCCUCUGGUAGACAGAGACAGAAUACUCUUCCCACCGCUGCACAUCAAUGAAUGACGAGCAGGGGGAGAGAUUCCAUCAGGACAUGAAAGAGAUGGAGACCAGGUAUCAGGGUCGCUGGGACGCAGUCAUGAUGGCUGACUACUGUUGGACUCUGAAGAGAGACCUCCCUGCCCCUGAGCAUUCCAGAAGUUCCAAGAAACUGAAGUUCAAGCCCUGAAGUUUGAAAAAUGGUGAAGCAACAUGCAAUUUACGUGUACUUGCUUUUAUCAAUGCCCACCAUUCAGUUUACAGUAAUUGAUGUUUCUAUCAGGUAAUCAAUAUAUGUUGUUGGAAAAACAUUUUUUCUCUUAAAAACAUAUUUAGGUUGGCAAAAAUCAGCUGAUAAUGCCACAAAAAUGUAAUUGAUUUUGUCACAAGAUCUGAUUUUUUUCAAAUCAACAUAGCACAAAAACCUGACCUGACAGAGAGAAACGGAUGCCAUUUCCUGAUUCAGCAGUGCAAAAAUACCCUAAAUCAGUUGUAGAAAUCUAGACAACAUUCAAAAAGUAAAAAAUUGUUGCCCAGUGUAAUUUAUUAUUUAUACCCCGCCCAUCUGGCUGGGUUUCCCCAGCCACUCUGGGCGGCUUCCAACAAAACACUAAAAUACAAUAACCUAUUAAACGGGGGGUGUGGGGGGGGUGUGCCACUACCAAGAAGGCCCUCUGCCUGGUUCCCUGUAACUAGGCUUCUCACAGCGAGGGAACCGCCAGAAGGCCCUCGGCGCUGGACCUCAGUGUCCGGGCAGAACGAUGGAGGUGGAGACGCUCCUUCAGGUAUACUGGACCAAGGCCGUUUAGGGCUGCACCCAAAGAGCAAAAAGGAAUGAUACAAUGAAACCUCGGGUUACAGACGCUUUAGGUUACAGACGCUUCAGGUUACAGACUCCGCUGACCCAGAAAUAGUACCUCGGGUUAAGAACUUUGCUUCAGGAUGAGAACAGAAAUCAUGCGGCGGUGGCGCGGUGGCAGCAGGAGGCCCCGUUAGCUAAAGUGGUGCUUCAGGUUAAGAACAGUUUCAGGUUAAGAACGGACCUCCAGAACGAAUUAAGUUCUUAACCUGAGGUACCACUGUAAAUGGAGAAAAGUGCUGUCCUUUCAGGGUGGCAUUUUUUUCCUUAUUAAACUGCUGGCUUUAUGUACUCAGACACGUGCGCCAGUCAGUUGUGCUACUUUGCCCUGGUCCAGCAACUUUGCCCUGGUAAUUAGCAAUAUUGCUGAACUGCAUGAUUCCUUUUUCAUUUUUUUUUUUUUGUUCCAGCACUUAUCGCGGCUGGCAAUGGCUGAUGCAACAGGAGCAGGUUUGCACAAACAAAUGCUCAUACGCAUGUGAUAUGAGCUGCUGUUGCUUUUAUUUAAAAUCAAGCAAAUGGGGAGGAGGGGAACGGCUUUGACAGGGAUAACACCCAUCUGUAAUACAUUACCCGUUUCUUAGGCUUCAAGUGACUGUGAGGAUGUAAGCUGCGGAAGGUUAAAGGGAACAAAUUAAAUGAGUAAAGUCUGUGGGGAAUAAACAGGAACAAAACAUAAUGGAAAAGAUCGCAGGAGAAUGCUGCUCUAGGGAUAUUAAUGCACCGUAAUGGCAUAUUUUCCUUUUAGUAUGCCUUGUAUUAGUGUUCUGAAUCUACCCAACAGUCUAUGUUUAUAUAACUUUCUUCUGAAAAAUCCUGCUUGGCUCUACCAUUUGGCUUCAAAUUCGACACCCAAAUUCUGGUCCUGCAUCUUUUUUAUUUUAUUUAUCUUCAUUUUUUUUAAAAAAAUAAUAUAAACACCUGUUACAUACAAAAUUUACAUUCCUCUCAUACACAUGUUUUUGGCAUCUGUCACAAUGGAGUGCGCCAAAAGUGACCUCCCUGGGACGCAUGCACCUAUUUAAACAAUAUUUCCUAUAUUACAAAGGACACUCAAAAUAAAAUGGAUUUUUUAAAAAAACAAAACCUAAAAUGGUGAAGGAUAAUUUCUAGUAUCUAUGAGGGUGUGCAUAUGUGACUAGAAUAAUUUUGAAGGACUAAAUCCCCCCCCCUUUUUUUUGGCAAGCAACUGGGGGUUUCUCACAUUCAUUAUUCUAGCAUCCUUACAUUUGGCUGGAAUCCGAGAAUUGCAGAUACUUGGGUAUUGUGCUGGAAUCAUAUUGCCAUUUCUGUUUAUAUUCAUAUAUAGAAUAAUAUAGAAUAAAGUCUUGCCACUCACUCAGAAAGGAGUCUUCUUUUAUUUGGCCUCUGCCUAAAAGAAGUUUUGGGGAUAACUUUUCUGCUAGCAAUGUUAUCCUUACUUGAUUAUGGCAUUCUUCCUUAGUAAUCACUUCUGGUUUAGUAAGCACUCCUAGUUAUUCGUACUCAUCAGUCUUGCGGUUGACUCUUUAGCAAUGCUAAGUUAAGCAGCGAGAUGCCCCAUUAGCUAAAUUGGUACCUCAGGUUAAGAACAGACCUCCAGAACGAAUUAAGUUCUUAACCCGAGGUACCACUGUACUUCUUUGCAUUUAAUUCCCACUUGACCCCACUGUUAACAAUGUUUCCCUAUACACUCAUGUAGACUCAACGACCAAGAACAACUGAUCAUGCAAUAACACAUUGACAAUAACAGACUGGGAUGUUGUAAACAGUAUUCUUCGACCUUGGGUCCAGAUUUUGUUGGACUACAACUGCCACCAUCCCUAACCAUGGUUGGAGCUGAUGUGAGUUGGAGUCCAACAACAUGAAGGGCCAAAGGCUGGCCAUCUAUGGUUGGAAGCAUAUUGUUAUCAUGCCAGUUACAGAGAUCAGAUGUACUGUGUUGAUCUCAGAAUUAAUGUCCUCUAGUACAAAUGGCAGACAAGGAAUAACAGUCUCAGAGAGACUGGAACAGCGCAGUGGACAGAACGAUGUGCACAACAGGCUCAAAAUCCAUUCAUGAAAUGGGCUACAAAAUCAUAAGUGUCUUCAGUGACCAUUGUCUCCUCCUUGUUGAGAAAUUAAGACUCUCUUAUAUUUGCUAUUGAUAAAACUAUUUUAUCUGGAAGCAGUUCCCUUAUGAAAACUCUGGGGGCUGGAGGGUAGAGCAAGGCAGAUGGAAACAACCGGCCCCCUGAUGGCAAACCCAGAGUCUCUCUCUCCUCAACUCUGAUCUGAAUGGUCUUACUCAGGCAUCCCUAACCUGCCGUCCUCCAGAUGUUUUGGCCUACAACUCCCAUGAUCCCUAGCUAACAGGGCCAGUGGUCAGGGAUGUUGGGAACUGUAGUCCAAAACACCUGGAGGGCCGAAGGUUGGGGAUGCCUGGUCUUACUCUUUAGAGCAAGGGUAGUCAGUGUGGUGCCCUCCAGAUGUUAUUGAACAACAAGGCCCAUCAGGCCCAGCCAGCACAGCUAAUGUUAAGGCAUGAUGGGAGUUGUAGUCCGACAUAUGAAGGGCACCAUGUUGGCUACCCCGAUUCUAGAUGGCAGAUUACUUCAAAAUGUGUAAUAUGCUGUGUUUGGGGACCCUCCUGCUCAUUCGGUUGAGAAGGCCUUGCCCUGAUAGCACCACUACAAAGGAGCAGGUCUGCUCAAUCCCCUGAUCUUUUAAACUGCCUCCCCACCUUUUCCCUAGCUUAACCACUGGCCAAUCCAUGAUACGUAUGCUGCUAGCCUUACUUAUUUACUUUCCUUAAUUGCUUCCUGAAAAGGGCUCUGAAAAAAGGCAAGUGCAAAUAUGGCUUUGGGAAAGGCCAAAUCAAUAAUCUCUGCUAUUCUCCUUUUAUCUUUUUCUUAGAUGCCCCAAGAAGCUUUCUCCUCCCCUGGGAAAUUUCAGGAAAGGACAGUACCUGCCAUAUGGUGCCUGCUGUGGCAAAGAGAAUUAGCUGUCCCUCCAAGACAUUUGCUGCUGUUUUUCGGCUGAGUCCAGGAGAUGUCCACUCUGACAGAGGGGAAAUGGACAGAACAGAAAGAGGAUGACUCUCAGGAAAGCAGAGUUGGUCUUAGUCUUUGAGGGUGGGGUGGGGGGACACCUCACAAACUCUUAAUAAUUGAAUAUGCCUUUCAGCCACAAGCUACUUCUGAGAGGGGACAGGAAGCUCCUUUUAAAGCAUUUCAAUUUCUCGGUUAUCUUUCCUUGUGACUUGAUCAAAAAAGGAAGAGCAGAAAAUACUAAACAUACCUUCAUCUAAAAGGGAUUGUGUGAAAUCAGGAGAUUUUUAAAGCCAUAAAUAUCGAUG